AUAACGACUCUCGGCAACGGAUAUCUCGGCUCUCGCAUCGAUGAAGAACGUAGCGAAAUGCGAUACUUGGUGUGAAUUGCAGAAUCCCGUGAACCAUCGAGUCUUUGAACGCAAGUUGCGCCCGACGCCUUCGGGCUGAGGGCACGCCUGCCUGGGCGUCACGC
rnacentral:rRNA from 1 species